GACAGAGGGUGCAAACGUUGUUCGGAAUUACUGGGCGUAAAGCGCGUGUAGGCGGCUAUGCAAGUCGGAUGUGAAAGCCCUCGGCUCAACCGGGGAAGUGCACCCGAAACUGCAAAGCUAGAGUCUCGGAGAGGAUCGUGGAAUUCUCGGUGUAGAGGUGAAAUUCGUAGAUAUCGAGAGGAACACCGGUGGCGAAGGCGACUACCUGGCCUGUUCUUGACGCUGAGGCGCGAAAGCUAGGGGAGCAAACGGG
rnacentral:rRNA from 1 species